UUCACUCACCCAGCCCACACGCAUGUCAUGGACCCGUUCCACGGCAUGCUCAUCGCGGCGGCCAUCCUCGUGCUCUUCCUCAUCUUCGUCGCCUUCCCGCUCAGCUUCUUCCUCCGCUACUACUUCAGCACCGGCGUCCCUGAGGUGCCCGCGCCGAGGGGCGUCGGCCCGGAGCUGCUGGGCUCGCUGCCGGUCACGGUGUACCGCACGGCGGACCACGUCGGGGUGGUGGAGUGCGCGGUGUGCCUGGCCGGGCUCCAGGACGGGGAGCAGGCGAGGUUCCUGCCCUGCUGCGGCCACGGGUUCCACGCCGGGUGCAUCGGCGUGUGGCUGGCGUCCCGCUCCACCUGCCCGCUCUGCCGGGUCACCGUCGUCGGCAAGCUUCCGGACGCGCUUACAUCGACGAGUCUCCCUCCCACACCGCAGGAGCCCGCGAAUUACGCCGGGAACCUGCCGGCGAGUGUGCUGAACUGCUGA
rnacentral:rRNA from 1 species